AUUGAACGCUGGCGGCAUGCUUUACACAUGCAAGUCGAACGGUAACAGGCCGCAAGGUGCUGACGAGUGGCGAACGGGUGAGUAAUGCAUCGGAACGUGCCCAGUCGUGGGGGAUAACGCAGCGAAAGCUGUGCUAAUACCGCAUACGAUCUAUGGAUGAAAGCGGGGGACCGUAAGGCCUCGCGCGAUUGGAGCGGCCGAUGUCAGAUUAGGUAGUUGGUGGGGUAAAGGCAUACCAAGCCGACGAUCUGUAGCUGGUCUGAGAGGACGACCAGCCGCACUGGGACUGAGACACGGCCCAGACUCCGACGGGAGGCGGCAGUGGGGAAUUUUGGACAAUGGGCGCAAGCCUGAUCCAGCAAUGCCGCGUGCAGGAAGAAGGCCUUCGGGUUGUAAACUGCUUUUGUACGGAACGAAACGGUCUGGGUUAAUACCCUGGGCUAAUGACGGUACCGUAAGAAUAAGCACCGGCUAACUACGUGCCAGCAGCCGCCGUAAGAC
rnacentral:rRNA from 1 species